AUGUGAAUGAGCUUGCCGAGCGCUACAUCAACGCAACUGAGCCAAAGCCUAGUGACAGCAGCAUUACUGCGUAUAAAAGCCGUAUGGAAAGUGCGAUUAAAAAAUUUGUGGCUUACCAAGCUGGAGAGACAAUCCCUUAUAUCCCUGUAGAGCGCCAAGAGGAGGAAGAAGAAUUGGUUGAGUUAAAACAGCCAGUAGAGGUAAAGAGUGCUACGCCAUCCUCUUACUCACUACCCGUAGUCAUUCGCCCAGAAUUAGGAGUCACAGUAA
rnacentral:misc_RNA from 1 species